ACACUUCAUCUGAUGCCAAGCUCUUUCCCCAUGGGGAUCCAGUGAGCCACGGCUGUAGACAGGGGCCUCUUGGUGCUGUCUGCAGCUUGCUGAUUAUAUAGGUGGCCCUACAGGACCUUGCAGUUGGCC